rnacentral:rRNA from 1 species
AUGGUUAUCCCUGCACCAGCUAGGGCGCCUGCGAUCACCAAGUUCCUCAAGCCCUAUGUUCUGAAGAUGCACUUCACAAACAACUUUGUGACGGCCCAAGUCAUCCACACCCCAUCGGCGACCAUCGCAUGCGCAGCGAGCUCACAGGAGAAGAUCCUGAGGCCAAGCAUGGAGUCGACGCGGGACGUGGCUGCGGCGGCCAAGAUCGGGAAGCUGCUCCGCGAGCGCCUGCUGUUCAGGGGCACCUGUUGA